ensembl:lncRNA
GGAAUGCAAGAGUCAGACCCAGCGGACAUGCCUCAACUUCCCUGCAGCCAGCAGAGCAUAGAUUUGUGGCUGCACAUCACAGAUCCCCUCUGUCCUCAAAAGGCAUAAAGGUUCUGGAGCUGCAAAGAUUGCCAUAGCAGCCCUAGAAGUUGUAAUGUACUUCCUUCAAGCUGCUGGAAAGCUUUGCACAGAGCUGCAGCAAGCCAGGCCUCAUUCAGGGAAAGCUCUCAAGAAAGGUAAUUUUCCUGACAGCCCAUGAUCCAAACCCACCAGACAUCCAUUAGAGCCAGGAAAGGUUGACAUCCAUGUGAGCCUGAGCAAAAACAGGGCUGGCAGCUCAGAGUCUGGCCUUGUGGGAACUUCCUCUGCACAGUGCCUCUGUGAGCAAGAAAGGGCUUGAGAUUCCCUUUUUCUUGGGCACACAAAACCGUAGCGCAAUCACACAAGGGGUCCACUGGAAACUGCUGGCAGUUGCAGAGUUCUUUUAGCCAGAGAUGAAAUCCACAGGGGGACCCAGCUAAGCCCCCAGACAAGACAUGGAAAGCAGUUACAAGGUGUAAAAUAUGGACAUAUUCUGCAAUAACCAUUUUUAUGCCACAGAUAAUGGGACACACCAUCAAGUCCGAGACAAAAAAGACUGGUACAAAUUGCAGCCUAUAUAUUAAGCACCUUCAAUGGAUCCUUGUGCCAAGAGCCUCCCUGGUGUCCCCACCCCCUCCCUAAGCAGAGGAGCUGAAUCUUCACAUUCUUCUGCAUAAAACUAAAACACCUCCCAAAUUAAGAAUAAUCAAACUGACUCCCUGAUCAAAAUAACACCCUAUGGUUGUCCCAGCUUCCUCCAGCUAUGGCCAAUGGUACACCUGCAGCCUUUCUGCCUUCAGUAGGUGUGGGUGAGAGCCCCCUCUCCAAAUGCAGUGCUUCAAGGAUGGGAUGCUCAGCCUGACCCAGCCUGCCAGCUGCAGGCUCAGCACUGGUGUGAGGAUCCGGGCUGGAAGAUGUUAAGGAGAACAGCAAAACCGAGCCCAGAGCUCAAAAUCAGCACCUUGAAUCGUGUCCAAAAGCAAAUUGGAACUCAGCACAGCUUCUGGCAAACAGGUGCUGCCUCGUCUGUGGCUGACGCUCCUCAGCUGAUAGCUUUGGCUCUAGUCAUGGGCACCAAAAGUAGGGGCAGGGGCAGCUGCAGGCACUGUGGUCCUCCCAGGGAUACUUCCCUGCACACCGCUCCCCUCCUCUGUGGAUGACAAAGGGAUGUUGUGGUACUGAGGCAAGCAGGCUGCCAUCUGGAUCCAGGACUGUUCAUCUCUGACGACUGCAGCAACAGCUCAGAGCUUGGGUGAAGGCUGAUUGUGGACAGAUUACAGGGGACACAGUGUGUUCAUUUCUAUCCAUGCUGCGCUGCUAUUACCCACACUGAAAAUAAAGCCUCAUUUU